UGGCUUAGUUGGUUAAGUAUCUGACUUUGGCUCAGGAUACGACUUGCAGUUUGUGGGUUUGAACCCCAC
rnacentral:tRNA from 1 species